rnacentral:rRNA from 1 species
AUGUUGCCAUCGUGCAGUACUGCAGGUUGCCGCUUUGGUGAGGAUUGCCUCUUCACCCACGACUUCCCUGGCGGCUACCAGGCCGUCGCAAACCUGGGCAGCCUGGGCGGUGAAGCUCCUUCGCAAGGCGAGAAGGAACUUUCCGAGCAUCUGCCCCAGGACAACUCAGCGCCACCACACAUAGAGCAAGGGACCGCUGGUCGCCACGCACCUCCACUGGCGCCCAACCCCGGCAAGGCAGCUCCGGCGGGUUUCGGCGCUCCGGCGACGGCCAGGAUCACCGUGGACGCGUCCCUUGCAGGCGCCGUCAUCGGGCGUGGCGGAGCGACCAUAAGGCAGAUAUCCCGGAUCACCGGCGCCAGGCUGUGCAUCCGUGACCACGAGUGCGACGCCGGAUUGAAGAACGUGGAGCUGGAGGGCACGCCCGAUCAGAUCAGGCACGCCAGCGCUAUGGUCUGGGAGCAUCUCCCGGUGCCGGGCGGAGGGCGAUAUAACGGCGUCAAGGCCAGGCUGUGCGCGCACUUCGCCAGAGGGUCCUGCACCUAUGGCGACGGCUGCCGCUUCGCCCACAGCGAGAGCGAGCUCCGCAGGCCGGCUCCUGCUGCUCCUAGAGAUCCGUGUGGUUGGUAG